rnacentral:rRNA from 1 species
CCCAGUUGUUGAGGGAGUGACGGGCGAUUUGUGCACAUAAAAAUUUAAAUUUAAUUUUAUAUUUAUUUAUUCUCUAAAAUUAAUAUUAAGUCCUGUUUAUUCUUAAAUUAUUUUAUUUUUGGUUAUUUUAAAAAAAUGUGUUUCAUAUCAUCUUUCUUAUAGCUCCUGUCUUGAUUUGUUUUUUUAUUUUUAAAUUAUUUUGAGUAUUCCUUAAAGUAAAAUCUCGACAAUGAUAUAGGAAGUUAAUAAUUAAGUCCAUUUAAUCGUGGGUUAUCUAUUAAUGUACAAAACCCCCUAAUUGGUUUCAUGCCGCCAUCUCAUUUAGAUUUCGUUUGAUUUAAUUACUAUCCUUAUUUGAUUUAAAA